rnacentral:rRNA from 1 species
GACGAACGCUGGCGGCGUGCUUAACACAUGCAAGUCGAACGCUGAAGCUCAGCUUGCUGGGUGGAUGAGUGGCGAACGGGUGAGUAACACGUGAGUAACCUGCCCUCUUCUUUGGGAUAACGCCCGGAAACGGGUGCUAAUACUGGAUAUUCACUGAUUCUCGCAUGGGGGUUGGUGGAAAGGUUUUUUCUGGUGGGGGAUGGGCUCGCGGCCUAUCAGCUUGUUGGUGGGGUGAUGGCCUACCAAGGCUUUGACGGGUAGCCGGCCUGAGAGGGUGACCGGUCACAUUGGGACUGAGAUACGGCCCAGACUCCUACGGGAGGCAGCAGUGGGGAAUAUUGCACAAUGGGCGGAAGCCUGAUGCAGCGACGCCGCGUGAGGGAUGGAGGCCUUCGGGUUGUAAACCUCUUUCGCUCAUGGUCAAGCCGCAGCUUUGGGUUGUGGUGAGGGUAGUGGGUAAAGAAGCGCCGGCUAACUACGUG